rnacentral:rRNA from 1 species
GAUGAACGCUGGCGGCGUGCCUAAUACAUGCAAGUCGAGCGAACAGAUGAGGAGCUUGCUCCUCUGACGUUAGCGGCGGACGGGUGAGUAACACGUGGAUAACCUACCUAUAAGACUGGGAUAACUUCGGGAAACCGGAGCUAAUACCGGAUAAUAUAUUGAACCGCAUGGUUCAAUAGUGAAAGACGGUUUUGCUGUCACUUAUAGAUGGAUCCGCGCCGCAUUAGCUAGUUGGUAAGGUAACGGCUUACCAAGGCAACGAUGCGUAGCCGACCUGAGAGGGUGAUCGGCCACACUGGAACUGAGACACGCUCCAGACUCCUACGGGAGGCAGCAGUAGGGAAUCUUCCGCAAUGGGCGAAAGCCUGACGGAGCAACGCCGCGUGAGUGAUGAAGGUCUUCGGAUCGUAAAACUCUGUUAUUAGGGAAGAACAAAUGUGUAAGUAACUAUGCACGUCUUGACGGUACCUAAUCAGAAAGCCAUGGCUAACUACGUG